rnacentral:rRNA from 1 species
UACAGAGGUCUCAAGCGUUGUUCGGAUUCAUUGGGCGUAAAGGGUGCGUAGGCGGCGCGGUAAGUCGGGUGUGAAAUCUCGGAGCUUAACUCCGAAACUGCAUUCGAGACUGCACUGCUAGAGUAUGGGAGAGGGAAGUGGAAUUUCAGGUGUAGCGGUGAAAUGCGUAGAUAUCUGAAGGAACAUCAGUGGCGAAAGCGACUUCCUGGACCAAUACUGACGCUCAUGUGCGAAAGCGUGGGGAGCAAACAGG